UGUAUAUAAUUCCACGUAUCCCGCAGGUCCUAUAACUAGUUCAAAUUUAUAAAGUGAUCUAAUUCUAUUGUAAGGGAGGGAAAAGGACAGGAUGAGACUGGAAUGGGAUGAUGAACAACAACAGCCAUUAAACCACGCGCCAGGAGGAAGAGGAUGAAUUCUUCUUCUUCUUCUUGUACAGCUGAUCAGUCUCUCUACUUAUCAUGCUCAACAACGUCCGACAUAUGAGGUAAUUUAAUCUAUACGUGUUUCUUCUUUCGUUCUUUAUACCUUUUGCUACUAGUGCUACAAAGAUACCAUGUAUUUAGGUAUCAUGUGUAAUAGCUUAACCAUAUACUCUUCCUUUGAAACUAAACAAUGCACAGCCUAACCAAAGAUACUGUCUCAGUCAUGCCAAAGAUGAACUUGGAAAGACGUUUAAAACUUGUUUGUGAAUCUCCUCAGUUGACUCUUGCUCAAGUUUGGAUUGAUCACCCUGGUGUCAGUCACAGGUCCUCCCCCUCUUCACCCUCACUUUCUUCGGAGGAGGAGGAAGACACUCAUCAUCACACGAAACAAACUGUGACAUAUCUGGUCAAUUUGUGUGGUUAUGUUACCGACCCUAAAGGUAGUGAUGUAAAAGGCUACUCUGCUAACCUAGAUUACUAUGGUACCUGUGACGUCCUUGCCUUGAAAAUUGAUGACACGCUUGUUGGGCCAAUGCUUCAAACUCUAAAAACAGCCUUUUGCAAAGAUGUUAACCUCGGGGGUGACAACGGGAUGUAUGGGCUACUCUGUCGCUAGGCUAAGUGCAGCUGUUUUGCCAUAUGCUUGAGGAGCACCCACAAUGGAACAUAUUUUUGAUUAUGGUUUUGAAUACUUAUGGCCCAAAAGCCAAAACCAUACCAUCUUGUUGGGAUCUCUUAUUAAUGAUUACGAUGUGUUUGCCAAGCUUCAAGUUUGCUUUCUGGUGCACAACUUGGUGAUGAAGUACGUGUUAUAGAUAUUGACAAUUAUAAAGCCACCCGUAAAAUGUCAUCUUUCACGAUUCUCUCUGGAAACUGGUUCUCACAAACACCUAAAGCGUCUAAAGACUAUGUUGCUGCCCAGCGUCUCAGGUGAUGCUAACGUCUUAAUCUUCAACUUAUCAUGGUCGUCUACUCUUCUGUUACGAUGUAUCAAUAUGGAGGCAUGUAGCACAAUUCGGUCCAAUACUAGCCAAAUGAAUUUCCUCUGACCACAUUCCUAAUGUUAAUAAUUUUGUUGUUUAACCUUGUAUGAUUGAGUACAGGCGCAGGGUCAUUUACUAUUACAUGGGAGUUAUUCAAAAUGGUUGACGUCAUAGUUACUCCAACAACUGGGUCAAUAUCAACAUUAUGCCAUCGCUUGUGGUUUAUAAGGUUCCAUAGUGAAACAGGUGAUACUGAAUAUUGUGUAUUUUGUUAGCAUGACUACUCCUGUAGUUCGUCCAAGUUCAGUCAUGACGAGCGAGACAGAUAUAAAGGUAACAGGGUGGUGUGCUCAUUUUUCAGAUCAGAGGCCGCCCUUGGGGUGAAACUACAAUUCUGCUAAACAAGAUCCCGACAAUUGUGUCGACGAGUCUCAAGCUGGAUUUGCUUCAAAGAUAACAAUGGACUUGCACCCAGGCUCACAACAAUCAGGAGUGGAGACCGUGUUGACUGUUUUGCAUGUCGGUUGGAAAUUCGGUGAGGACAGUAGUGGUUGUAAGGUCUCGGGUGGACUAGAUGCUGCUUGGUCUCUCUACUUAUCAUGUUCAACAACGUCUGACUUACGAGUCAUGCCAAAGAUGAAAUUGGAAAGACGUUAAAGGUUGUUUGUGAAUCUCUUCAGUUGACUCUUGCUCAAGUUUGGAUCGAUCACUCUAGUGUCAAUCACAGGUCCUCCCCCUCUUCACCCUCACUUUCUCGAGACAUAACUGUGAGGAUUACAAAAUGACUGAAAAAAACUCGUCUCAAUUAUAGUGGCUUAAGCCACAUGAAAAACUUUCAAACAACGAAUAACGAGCCAUCGGUUUUCACUUCUUGGUGUUUUUAAUAUAAUCCCAGCCAUGUCUCGAAGAGCGGCCAAAACAAAGAGCUAGCAAAAUAAUUAAACAAGACAUGCAGGCGGCAGGCCUACAUAAAAACUGUCCAGGAGUACCAAUGGAGACACGUGACCAGCCACACUUUGAACUGUAGAUGGUUAGUUAGAAGGCUACAUUAGACGAGUUACCAUGUACAGUGUCAGUAUAUAAUCUUGUAUUAUCAUCAUAUUUUGUAAUUAAUGAAAUACACAAUCAAAUUUCCCAAAA